GAUGAACGCUGGCGGCGUGCCUAAUACAUGCAAGUCGAGCGAACGGACGAGAAGCUUGCUUCUCUGAUGUUAGCGGCGGACGGGUGAGUAACACGUGGAUAACCUACCUAUAAGACUGGGAUAACUUCGGGAAACCGGAGCUAAUACCGGGUAAUAUUUUGAACCGCAUGGUUCAAAAGUGAAAGACGGUCUUGCUGUCACUUAUAGAUGGAUCCGCGCUGCAUUAGAUAGUUGGUAAGGUAACGGCUUACCAAGGCAACGAUGCAUAGCCGACCUGAGAGGGUGAUCGGCCACACUGGAACUGAGACACGGUCCAGACUCCUACGGGAGGCGGCAGUAGGGAAUCUUCCGCAAUGGGCGAAAGCCUGACGGAGCAACGCCGCGUGAGUGAUGAAGGUCUUCGGAUCGUAAAACUCUGUUAUUAGGGAAGAACAUAUGUGUAAGUAACUGUGCACAUCUUGACGGUACCUAAUCAGAAAGCCACGGCUAACUACGUG
rnacentral:rRNA from 1 species